GUUGGCAUCAUCUUGGUAAUUCCUGCUUCUCCUCUAUCUAGGAACUUGCAUCAAAGGGCAAGUUUGGCUCUUCACUUCAUUUAUCAAAGAAGACAGCUCCCCAACUCCAUACUUAUAACCUGUCUCUCCCUGCAUGGGGAAGCCUUAAAAACCAGGAGUCUUGACCUGGAGCAAAGAAGAAGCAGAUGCAACCAAGAAGAGUACGGGUUGAUGGAACACUAUUUCUAAAAAUGCGAGCCUGUCCAGCAGAGAAGACCGCCUGUUUGCACAGCACAGAUGCUGACAGAUGUCUAGUAACUCAGCACUCAGCUGCAACUUCUGUGCCACCCUGCGCCGCCCAGGAGACAAGAUGAAAUUGCUAGUAUGUGAGAUUUGUGACAGCCUCUGCACGCCAGGACUUCUCGCGUCUUUAUCAUCAGGGACACAACUUAGACCAGUUUCUGCUGUGUGGAACCUUCAUGGACAUAUGAUCCCUGUGGAGACAUGGCUCUGGUUUUGUUGUUUUUAACACAUUCCAUUUUGAAUCAUAAGCUAUUUGAGCUGGACAGGAGACUAUUAAAGACCUAUUCGGUCUCCUGAUCUAUAAACUGAAUUCCACUGAGCCCUGGAAGUCAUCCAAAGUGCUCAGGGCCACUCUAAUUUUACCUCUUCUCUAUAUGCAACCACCCCACGGGUGUCUGCAAGGGACAGCAAAACCUGCAGAUGCCCAAAUCGCUCGCAGAAAACACUGUAGUGUCGGCAAACAUUCCAGAAAGAAGGAACUUUUCUAAAGUCAUGGACAUUUGAAGAAUGACAAAAAAAAAAACAUUAAACAAUUUUGAACGGUUAAAAAUGUAACCCUUUUCUUAACACAAAACAAACAAUAAAGCCAAUUUUUACCUGGAUUGGAUCUAGACA
rnacentral:lncRNA from 1 species